rnacentral:lncRNA from 1 species
AUAUGGCUUAUGUUUAACUGAUCACCAGAUAUAGUAACAAACAGCAGACAAAAAUAGUAAAUGAUCACCAAAAUGAAACUCGCAUUUUAAUGUAAAACUAUCACCAAAGUUUUAACACUUUGCUAUCCUAUUUAAGUGAAAUUACUCCAAAAUAAAUCAUGCGUAAGCCAAAAAUAGUAAAUGAUCACCAAAAUUAAACCACCAUUUUAAAGUAAGAUUAUAACCAAAGUUUUUAAAUUCUGCUAUCCUAUUUAAGCAAAAUGAGUCCAAAAAAAUCAUUGUUAUCCCAAAAGUAGUAAAUGAUCAUCAAAAAAGUUUUUACAUCUUGCUAUCCUGUUUAAGUAAACUGACUCCAAAAAAAUAAGUUCGGCCUGAUAAAAUAAAUGUAAUAACAUUAUGGGGACCCUUUUCCUGCACUAGCGUGGAAAAUUGUCUAUUGCAUGCCUCUAAACAGUGCGAUAAGAGUGUAUUGAGAAACACAUUCUUCUUCUUCUUUCUCCUGCCCUGUUCCCAAUUUUACUUGGCGUCGGCGCAAUAUGUCAUUUUCUUCCAUUUUCCCCUGUCACUCGUCAUACUGACACUCACGCAUGCAUUGCAAGCCGGACACAUAACUUAAUAUGGCAUCAUAAUACUUUAUUUGGUAAUAAGCCUACAUUUUAUGGCAAUCACAGUGACUUAUUUAGGCAAAAAUAAUACAUUAAUUUGGUCGUCAAGAGUUGGUGAUCAUUUACUAAAUUUGAUUGGGCAAGAAUGUAUGAAGUUUGGUCCAAAUGUCCACCACGAACGAGACCUAUAUAAUUGAAUAGUCCACUUAAUUUAGAGUAACUUUUACUAAGAAAGUAAAAAAAAAAACAAUGCCAAAAAAAAGUUAUAGCCAAAAAUGUAUUCUUAAUUUUCGGUAGUUUUUGUAUGUUAUCAUUAUUAUUUUUUAUUUUAUUCCACUUCCAUUUCUGCACUUUAUCUAAAAAUGAGUAAGUCUAAGAUGAGUAAGACACAUUUGCAUAUAAAC